rnacentral:rRNA from 1 species
GACAGAGGUGCCGAGCGUUAGGCGGAAUCACUGGGCUUAAAGCGUGUGUAGGCGGAUCGUUAAGUACCUUGUGAAAUCCCACGGCUUAACCGUGGAACUGCUGGGUAUACUGGCGAUCUUGAGGUGCUCAGGGGCGAGCGGAACAGAUGGUGGAGCGGUGAAAUGCGUAGAUAUCAGGAGGAACACCUGUGGUGUAGACGGCUCUCUGGACAGUAACUGACGCUGAGACACGAAAGCGUGGGUAGCAAACAGG